GGCUGCAGGAAGAUGGGGUGCAGCAAAGAUACCACAACGGAUGCAGCAUAGGGGUGGCACGGGGAUUUGGGGCGCUGGGUCAGACUGGCACCCCACCCAAGAGCAGUUUCAGUGAAGGACAUGGUGGUUUGGGCUGCCAGCACAGACCUCGCAGCACCCGGGCUAAAUAAGCAAUCUGUGCUCAGCUUUCUCUUCAAAGAUGGUGUGCCUGGAUUACUUAGAAAAGACUUUUUCCCCUGGCCUGGGAGUUACUACAACACUGAUGGCAGCUCCUUCUGAAUCCCUCUGUGCUUCUAAAAAUACGGAGAGGAGCACGACCAAGUUAUGGGAUGACACAGAUGUGCUUCAGCAUCACCCACACCAUCACAACACUCCUUUUUCCAUCCCCACCUCCCUCCAGUGCUGCCUUGCACAAGUCCUGAUGGGUUGUUCUAAGCUUUCCUCCAAGCAAUGUCAUUUUGGAGUUUGUCCCUGAGGAAUGCUCCACCUCAAUCCUCAUUUCUGGCUGGAUUUUUCCUGCAGGCUGGCUGAAUAUUGGAAAGCUGCUCCUGAGAAGAAUGGCUGGAGAAAAGCACACCAGAGUUUGCAAUUAAUAUUAUUGCAGUGGGAAAGUGGAAAACUUAAGCUUCAAACCCUCAUCAACCAUCCUGACACUGCUGAGAGAGGCAUGGAUUGUUCCCUGCUGCAAAUAAAGCACUGAUGUAAGAGAAAAUGAGUGUGGGAUAAGCCAUAGGCAAAGGCACCACUUUGGAAAACCUGCCCAUGCCCCAAAGUGCUUGGA